rnacentral:rRNA from 1 species
CAGUCGCCGCGGUAAUACGGAGGGUGCGAGCGUUAAUCGGAUUUACUGGGCGUAAAGCGUGCGUAGGCGGUUUUAUAAGUCGGAUGUGAAAUCCCCGAGCUUAACUUGGGAACUGCAUUCGAUACUGGAAAGCUAGAGUAUGGGAGAGGAUGGUGGAAUUCCAGGUGUAGCAGUGAAAUGCGUAGAGAUCCGGAGGAAUACCGAUGGCGAAGGCAGCCAUCUGGGCUAAUACUGACGCUGAGGUACGAAAGCAUGGGGAGCAAACAGGAUUAGAUACCCCGGUAGUCCCUGUCUCUUAUAC